GGCAGCCAUCUUUGUUGUCAUAAAAACAGGUGCUGUCAAACUUGGUGACAUUCAUCAACGGUAUUUGACAAAUCCAGGGGGUUUCGGUACCAAAAUGGCAUGUACGGACGUCCCUUGUGCGACGUACAUGGCCCUCUACAUCGUUUCCAUGCACAUAAUCAACAGCAACUCUCGAACAUCGAGUCACUGGCGACUGAAUUUUGAUGAGGGGAAGGUGGUGACGGAUGAAAAACCGCAAGAUAAUGGACUUAGAAAACCCGAUGAGGAUCUUAUGUUGAAUAUUUUGACGACCGCAAGAGUGUCUAAAGACGGAGAGUGGGUUUUAGAGAUGGAGCAAGGGCACUGUGCGGAUUGUAAAGCUGAAAUUGAAAAUCCCUCCACAGACACUCCUACGAAAUCUACCUCCAUCUCCACCCCUCACCAGGCGGGCCACAGCAGUAAAUACGACCUCCUGAGCUGCGGGAAACCUGUCAACACCACGCCGUACGAUCAUCUACAGGGUAUAGCCAAUAGGAAGGGACACAUACACAUUCCCGAGCCUGAGGUGGCCAUGAUAUUUAAGAAAAAAGGCAGUCGGAGCUCCGAGGUGGACAUGAGCGACCUGGAGAGACGGUUGAGGAAGUCACGGCGAGAGAAGCCAAGGUCAGCCCAAGUCUUCAACCAGAUAGGCAACUACUGGAGGAUAAAAGGCAACACCCAAUUGUCCAUAGAAUGCUUUAGAAAAGCUCUCUCCAUAUCUCCUAACAAUCCCGAUGUGCUUCUGAACCUGGCACGAGUUCUCUUUAAUUUACAGUUCCUGGACGAUGCCAUAUUUCUCACGCGAAAAUCCUUGGAAUUGCAAACGGCCGACCAAAACUCCUGGCUUCAGCACUUUACUUUAGGGGAGAUCCUCAAAGCGUACGGACACUUUCACGAGGCCGCUUUGCAUUUUCGUCACACGCUCGAUCUGAACCCUGGUUUUCAGCCGGCGCAGGCCCAUUUGCGCGAGAUGGAAAUGACUCCUGAUCCCACAGUGACGUACUAUACCCUAUUUAUUAUCCUGUUUCUUGUAUUAGGAGUCUUGGUUGGGAUUCUCACGUCUUUAGAUGCGAACCUGGAUGACUACGGGGAGUUGUCGAAAACUCAGCGCCAUUUUAACAGAGCGAUGGCCAUGAGGUCCAUUAAGCUGGGGAUUAACCCAAAGCUGAUGAGGAUGAGAAAGUGUAACUGUUGAUGGUUUGAUUUUCUGUUGUACUUGGGCAUUGGAAUGUCGGGAACCAGAUUUUAUCUGUAAAAUAGUUUUCCUUACUGUGUUCAGGAGAUGUUGGAAAAAAAUCAUUAAAGACUUUAAGUCAACAAUAGCAAAGUCAACAGUGGACAUUUGUUAUUUUUCUUACUUUGAUUGUUUUAUUGUUGCUGAAGAGCAUUUUAAAAAGUAUUGUUUGGUAAAGCAACAAAUUAUACAUUUACAAUUUAAAAAUGUUUGCCAAAGUUGAAGUACUUAGUAAUUUUCAUUAAAGUAUUCUAAAUUUCUAACUGAAUAUUUUGCUAAUUUUAACCAGAACAGGUGAAACUGCAGUUACUAAAUUUUAGUUUUAUUUUCUUGAAUUGUGUAAUAAAAUGUGCAUGCUAUGAAAA
rnacentral:misc_RNA from 1 species